UACGUAGGUGGCAAGCGUUAUCCGGAUUUAUUGGGCGUAAAGGGAACGCAGGCGGUCUCUUAAGUCUGAUGUGAAAGCCCUCGGCUUAACCGGAGUAGUGCAUUGGAAACUGGGAGACUUGAGUGCAGAAGAGGAGAGUGGAACUCCAUGUGUAGCGGUGAAAUGCGUAGAUAUAUGGAAGAACACCAGUGGCGAAAGCGGCUCUCUGGUCUGUAACUGACGCUGAGGUUCGAAAGCGUGGGUAGCAAACAGG
rnacentral:rRNA from 1 species